AAACAUAUCAAGGAUAUGGUGUCUAGG
rnacentral:sRNA from 1 species